rnacentral:rRNA from 1 species
UACGAAGGGGGCUAGCGUUGUUCGGAAUUACUGGGCGUAAAGCGCGCGCAGGCGGCUAUCCAAGUCAGUGGUGAAAGCCCGGAGCUCAACUCCGGAACUGCCAUUGAAACUGUUUAGCUUGAGGACGAGAGAGGUGAGUGGAAUUCCCAGUGUAGAGGUGAAAUUCGUAGAUAUUGGGAAGAACACCAGUGGCGAAGGCGGCUUACUGGUCCGGUUCUGACGCUGAGGCGCGAAAGCGUGGGGAGCAAACAGG